AUUGAACGCUGGCGGCAUGCCUUACACAUGCAAGUCGAACGGCAGCACGGGGGCAACCCUGGUGGCGAGUGGCGAACGGGUGAGUAAUGCAUCGGAACGUGCCCAGUAGUGGGGGAUAACUAGUCGAAAGAUUAGCUAAUACCGCAUACGACCUAUGGGUGAAAGCGGGGGAUUCGCAAGAACCUCGCGCUAUCGGAGCGGCCGAUGUCUGAUUAGCUAGUUGGCGGGGUAAAGCCCACCAAGGCUUCGAUCAGUAGCUGGUCUGAGAGGACGACCAGCCACACUGGGACUGAGACACGGCCCAGACUCCUACGGGAGGCAGCAGUGGGGAAUUUUGGACAAUGGGCGCAAGCCUGAUCCAGCCAUGCCGCGUGCGGGAAGAAGGCCU
rnacentral:rRNA from 1 species